GACCAAGCAACUCUACCUUGAAUCCUUGAGAUCACACUCUAACUCUGCCCGAGUCCGAUAUCUCCAAUACCUGGUUUUGCACAAAAAUGUAUAGAAAUAUAGUAUCAGUACAUCACAGUCGGUACCCAGUAAGUAUCAAGACUAAUCUAAGUAGAGUAGUGACGAGGUACAGUCAAGACACUCACUAGUCUAAUAACAUGUGCAAUAUAGUAUACAAAAAUAAUAGGAAACAAAUAACAAUGAUGACAACAAUAAUUAAUCAGUGAUAUACACAGUAGGGCAACAAGAAUACCAUUAAUAUUGCUCAACAAAUAAUAAAUACAAAUACACUCAAUUAAAUCAAGUCCUUCAAAUAAAUAUCUUUCACAUAUAAUAUUUCCAAAUAACUCUCUUUCAAAUUUAAUUUCCUCAAAUAAAUAUCUUUCAAAUAUAAUUCUUUCAAUAAAUCUCUUUCAAUUAUAAUUUUCUCAAAUAAAUUUCUUUCAAAUGCAAUUCUUUCAAAUAAUACUUUUUUGAAUAAAACUCCUUCCAAAUAAAUAUUUUGAAUAUAAUUCUUUGAAUUAAAAGUCACCAUAUGACACCCCAUUUCAUAAUCAUAAAAAUAUUGGUCUCAGUCCAUUUUCAUAUUUUUCGUAAACACAGGUCUCAACCCACUUUUAUAUUUCCACGGCACUUUGUGCCCAUAAUUAUAUCAUCAUAUUUUCCGGCACCUCGUGCCCACUUUUCAUAUCACAACUGCACGGACAGUUCACGUGCCAAUAAUAAAACCAUCAUAUUUUUUUCCCGGCAUCUCGUGCCCACGCUUCAUAUCCGUUGUGGCGUGCAACCCGAUCCCAUAUAACAUUACCUGCCCAGCAAUAGCCACAGACUCACAAUUUCAACAUAAAUCAGGCUAUUAUCAAGUAUACCGAAACAACAAGACAAGUUGCACACGAUAUAAAAAUAAACACAAGGAAUACUCCAAUAUUAAAUGAAGAUUACCAAUACAAUAACUUCACAUCAUCACAUAACAUCCCUGACAAUAGCCAUUCAUAUCUCUCUUAUAGCCACCCUUAUCACUCCCAUAAUAGCCUCCCUUAUCCCUCCGCCCUAACAAUAUCAAUAGCCACCCAUAUCGCCCAUAUUGCCACCCUUAUCUCUCCUAUAGCCACCCUUAUCACUCCGCCCAGACAAUAUCCCAACACACAUAACAACAGUGAAAUGCCACCUUUAUACUCACAUAAUAUCAACAGUAGAAUGCCAUCCUUAUAUCCUCAAAUUAAUAACUCAACAAUUUACACGGAAUAUUAUCACAGCAACAUAACAAAAAGCAAUUCAUAUCACAAUUUGCCCAAUGGCCACAACCAAAUCCAAAGAUAUAACAAAUCAAUUAAUUUCACAACAAAUAGCCCAAGACUCCACACAAUGUAUAUAAAACCUCAAAACAACAAUAAAGAUGGAAAAAUAACUUAGCAUAGAAUAACACCUUUUUUAAUCUAAAUUGUUCGAUAAUUAUAUAACCCCUCGGGUUAAAGUUAUUUCAUUAAUUAUUUGCAUAUGGAAAAUUCAUAAUAAAAUUAAAUUCCAAAAAAAUCAAAUCAUCAACCUCACGGAAUUCACAUAAAUAUACAAGUAAUAAUCACAUCAAAUUGUCAUAUAAAAACAAAUUCAACAAACAUGAAUUGAGGCACGGCAAAUAGAUGAUUGAUUUAAUAAAUGCCAAUGGUUAUCCAAUUUACUACACAUACAAUCCAAGGGUUGGUAAGAAAAUAUGAAAAUACUUUGAACAAUAUAUAUCAGGUACCCAAUCACCAGAUCAAUAAUUUUAAGCUAUACAUACAUGCCAAGGUUACAACGCAACCUGGUUAGUUAGAAAAAUAAAAUGGUUGAGAGCAAUAAUGUCGAUGAAAUUGUGGCACAUGUCAUGAAGAAGGAAUUCUAAAUACAUUUGGACUUUGGUAUAGAUAAAUAUGUUUAUGACAUUAAGAGAUUCCAAAUUCAGUGUCAACUUCUCAAUUCAACUCACAGAAAUUAUAACUACUGCAGGUUGUAUGAUUUAGCAACUACUUGUUAUCACUCCCUUUAUCUUCCUUUUCGCUAUGUACCUUUUCUGGUUAAUAACUACGCUAUGAAACUGUCUCCAAAUUAAACUAAGUAAUACAUAUUGAUAAAUAAAUUAUUAUAUGAAGAAAACUACUGCUCAAUUGAUUCUAUGGAACUUCUGCUAAUCAAACCAGCUAUUGCUCCUGUUAAUUGUUAAACAAACUCUUCUCCAACUCAAAAUCAAGAUGGAAUUUCAUGUACUCUACAGAAAAAUUUAUGCUGGAAAUGCAAGCUGAUGGCAAACAACCAAAAAAACAAAAAGCAAGUAUUUAUUUAACAAACUAACAAACAAACGAGGGAACACUUCAAGAAAAAAAUUAUAAAUUCACUUAAAGGUCUACACACACUUAUGAGCAAACAAAUAUUUACUUCACUUAGAUGACUAGGUCAAGAAUAGCAAAUAACAAUCAAUUAGCAUUCUACCAAAAUAAGUUGUGAUAGAUUUAGAAACUAAAAUUUCAACGAGUUGGAUUAAGUCAUAGUGGCACACGAGUAUAUAUGAGAUUCGUGGAUUUAAGCCUUCUUUUCUUUUUCUCGAACUUUCAAGUCUUCUAUUUAACUUAAUUUUGCAACCAUCAACUCAACUUUGACAUUGGUGUCCUUCCCCAGUAACAUUCACAGUUCAAAUUUUCUUUUCGACUCUUAAUUAUUUUUAAUCUUUCUCUUGCUCCCCCUAAUACAGUUUCUAAACAAUGUGUGAGACAAUGUUAGAAUUGCAUAAAAUUAAUUAAAAAGUUUUCUUAAAACAAAUAAACAUGAAAUUUAAUUAAGGUUAUAUCAAAUUCAAUGUACGUCUUAAAGAGGAAAAUAAAAGCAAAGAGGGGAAAUAGAUCAGAUGUUAUGGCAUAAAUAGAUACCUUUGAAUUGAGAUAAAGUAUGAAUAGGACAAUGCCAAAUAGAAAUUAGGGCUCGAGGAAACCUUUGAAAAUAAAUAACCAACAACAGAAGAGUAAAACAAAACAAAAGAACUGUUAGAUUGCCAUAUAUCGCAGGAACUUCCAUUACAAUACUCAAAAGCUGAUUACUAAACCAUCGCAGUUUCUGUAAAAGAUAAUAAAUACGAUCAAACAAAUAAAUAAUUAGAAACUGCAAAAGAAUACCCAAUAUCACACUCCAUUGUUGCUACCACAGGUUUAGUGAUUUGGCAAAGACUUACCUUGAACAGAGAGAGAAGAAAAUUGUAGAUCGAAAUUGAGCAUCAAUUUCAGCCGCAUAAUUUUACUCUUCAAAAACAGAGAGAAUGGCUUAGGGUUCUU
rnacentral:lncRNA from 1 species